rnacentral:sRNA from 1 species
UCAUGGUUAUAUUUUUUACAGAAAGUGC